AGGAAGGGUCGGCUAACUACGUGCCAGCAGCCGCGGUAAUACGUAGGACCCGAGCGUUGCCCGGAUUUACUGGGUGUAAAGGGUGCGUAGGCGGACUUGUGCGUCAGAGGUUAAAGGCCCCGGCUUAACCGUGGAAAUGCCUUUGAUACGGCAAGUCUUGAGUUCGAGAGAGGAAGGUAGAAUUCCUGGUGUAGCGGUGAAAUGCGUAGAUAUCAGGAGGAAUACCAGUGGCGAAGGCGGCCUUCUGUCUCGAUACUGACGCUCAGGCACGAAAGCGUGGGGAGCAAACAGGAUUAGAUACCCUGGUAGUCCACGCCUUAAACGAUGUAUGCUUGGUGUUGGGGGUGCAAACUCUCAGUGCCGGAGGUAACCCGUUAAGCAUACCACCUGGGGAGUACGAUCGCAAGGU
rnacentral:rRNA from 1 species